CCAUAUAUCUUUGGCUGUAGGGAGACGAAUAAAUCAUUGCAUCAACGAUGGACUCAUUGAGUCAAUCAACCAGCUCUUGACUCUUUGAUUUUCAGUAAUCCAUGAUCCAAGAUUAGGAUCUCCAGGUGCUGGUUUCUUCGUUUCUCCAGUAAGAUAACCAGCUUUGUUGCGAGCACUAAUCCGCAUCUCCAUGAGUUGAGACCAUAAUGAGUAGUUGGUCUCAUCCAGAGUGAUUCCAGUUGGAAAUGCCGAGUUGUCUUGAUGAACAACAACUUGUGGUGCUGG
rnacentral:lncRNA from 1 species